rnacentral:rRNA from 1 species
ACAGCAGUCGCCGCGGUAAGACAGAGGAUGCAAGCGUUAUCCGGAAUGAUUGGGCGUAAAGCGUCUGUAGGUGGCUUUUCAAGUCCGCCGUCAAAUCCCAGGGCUCAACCCUGGACAGGCGGUGGAAACUACCAAGCUGGAGUACGAUAGGGGCAGAGGGAACUUCCGGUGGAGCGGUGAAAUGCGUUGAGAUCGGAAAGAACACCAACGGCGAAAGCACUCUGCUGGGCCGACACUGACACUGAGAGACGAAAGCUAGGGGAGCAAAUGGGAUUAGAUACCCGCGUAGUCCCUGUCUCUUAUAC